CCAGACUCCUACGGGAGGCAGCAGUGGGGGAUAUUGCACAAUGGGGGGAACCCUGAUGCAGCGACGCCGCGUGGGUGAAGGAGUAUUUCGGUAUGUAAAGCCCUAUCGGCAGGGAAGAAGCAAGACGGUACCUGACUAAGAAGCCCCGGCUAACUACGUGCCAGCAGCCGCGGUAAUACGUAGGGGGCGAGCGUUAUCCGGAUUCACUGGGUGUAAAGGGAGCGUAGACGGCCAUGCAGGCCAGGGGUGAAAGCCCGGGGCCCAACCCCGGGACUGCCCUUGGAACUGUGCGGCUAGAGUGCGGGAGGGGCAGGCGGAAUUCCUGGUGUAGCGGUGAAAUGCGUAGAUAUUAGGAGGAACACCAGUGGCGAAGGCGGCCUGCUGGACGACAACUGACGGUGAGGCGCGAAAGCGUGGGGAGCAAACAGGAUUAGAUACCCUAGUA
rnacentral:rRNA from 1 species